GAUAAAGAGACAUGCUGCAUUCAGGGGAUGAAAUACAAUCCAAAUAGCAAAGAGAAAUGCAUUUAGUCAAAGGUCAAAUCAAAACGAAUGGCGUGAAAAGA